AAAAAUUCUGACGGUACCUAAGGAUAAGCACCGGCUAACUCCGUGCCAGCAGCCGCGGUAAUACUGAGGGUGCAAGCGUUACUCGGAAUCACUGGGCGUAAAGGGCGCGUAGGCGGAUUAUCAAGUCUCUUGUGAAAUCUAAUGGCUUAACCAUUAAACUGCUUGGGAAACUGAUAGUCUAGAGUGAGGGAGAGGCAGAUGGAAUUGGUGGUGUAGGGGUAAAAUCCGUAGAUAUCACCAAGAAUACCCAUUGCGAAGGCGAUCUGCUGGAACUCAACUGACGCUAAGGCGCGAAAGCGUGGGGAGCAAACAGGAUUAGAUACCCUGGUAGUCCACGCCCUAAACGAUGUACACUAGUUGUUGGGGUGCUAGUCAUCUCAGUAAUGCAGCUAACGCAUUAAGUGUACCGCCUGGGGAGUACGGUCGCAAGAUUAAAACUCAAAGGAAUAGACGGGGACCCGCACAAGCGGUGGAGCAUGUGGUUUAAUUCGAAGAUACGCGAAGAACCUUACCUGGGCUUGAUAUCCUAAGAACCUUUUAGAGAUAAGAGGGUGCUAGCUUGCUAGAACUUAGAGACAGGUGCUGCACGGCUGUCGUCAGCUCGUGUCGUGAGAUGUUGGGUUAAGUCCCGCAACGAGCGCAACCCACGUAUUUAGUUGCUAACGGUUCGGCCGAGCACUCUAAAUAGACUGCCUUCGUAAGGAGGAGGAAGGUGUGGACGACGUCAAGUCAUCAUGGCCCUUAUGCCCAGGGCGACACACGUGCUACAAUGA
rnacentral:rRNA from 1 species